GCGAGCAAUAUAGUCAUUUUUAAACAAUAGAUGAGUUAAAUACAACUACCCAGCAGGUUGGGUUAAACAUUUUAACCCAACCGCUGGGUCAAAACAACCCAAUUGUUGGGUUUGUCUAUAUUUAACCCAACUUGGGUUAUUUUUAACCCAGCAUUUUUUAGUGUAGGAGUCUAUAUGUAGCAAUAAAUAAAACCUGUAUGACUUUCUUUGUCCAUUAAACUAACACACUAAUUGUUGUUUCUUCUUCUUUUGUGUUUUACAGGAGAAAGAAAGUCCAACAGUUCAAUUUCUUUGAACGGUUCAUUUUCUGUCCUGUCCUGUGUGGCAAAAAAUCUGUGCACAAAAAUACUCAUGCACACAAUCUCAUGCUCACCAGUGAAUCAUUUGAAAAGUAGCAAAACUACUAGUUUAACCAGCACGAUUUCAAAAUGUGUUUUAACAAGUUGCACCUGCAACCAAUCACAGUCCUAAAACAUCAUAUGGGAAAGUUCAACUCAUUGUAAUGAAUCAGUUUGUUUGAACAGUUCAUGUUCAAAAAAAUGAUUCACGUGACUCAUUUGAAUCCUGUGCAGCAAAACAAUUAACUAGCUGUCGGUGUGUGAUACUUUUAACUAUCAGUGUGUUUUAGUGUACAUUUAUCUAUUUCCAACACCCGUAAUGCCAGAUACAAAAUAAAUGAUUAAUCAUUGAAUAAUUAUUUUAAAAAAUGACUAACUUAAAUGGCUUCAGUGUAGUCUAGAAGCUUAUAAGCAGCAAUAAAUAAAACCUGUAUGAAUUUCUGUGUUCAUUAAACUAAAUGUUGUUUAGAUCCCACUGACCUUUCUUCUUCUUUUGUGUUUCACAGGAGAAAGAAAGUCAAACCGGUUUGGAACGACAUGAGGAAAACCAUCCCGGCUAGUCCAAACAUGGGAGCGGUUCUCGGAUUUCAGACCCCCACCUUGUCUUUUGUGCCGAGUUCAGUGAGGCUCCUGGUCAGAAAUGUACACAAGCCUAAUUCGAGUUCGAAGAUCUCCGAAUAACCCGAAAGGGAUCAAAUUAAAAUUCCAAGACGGGCGGAAAAAAGCGAUAUGGGGUUUGAAAGUGGCCCCUGCUUCUUUAAGCUGGAUUUAAGUGAUCAAAGUUCCAUAUGAGGCAGCCAUUGGUGGUAUUGAGUUACUCUAAUGGCUGCCAUGUGCUACUGCCGACGGGCCCGAUCCACGGACGUCUCCAGGGUGUCAGGCACAAGACAGUUGUAAAAAGAGGCUUUACAAUGGAGAGCGGGAUCGGCUAAAACCAGAUGCCUCGUGCAUUUUUUUCCGAAUUAGCUCCAGAUUUUUCAAGGAGCAUCGAUCAAGGCGUCCGGCGGGUCUCUCAAGACCGUGCCAGCCGACAGCGGCCCCCUCUCUAUCGCUCGCCAAGCGCUUAUUUACUGAUGCGUGGCUUCCCCAUUCCCACUAAACUGCAGGAGACACAAGUGACAAUAAAAGUCAAACACUCGGUGGUUGCCGGAGUCCUGGCUGGUUAUUAGUAUGUAAAUGAAAUCAUCACAGCUGUUCUAUGCGCGGAGAGGGGGAGAGCGGAGACAACGAACCCUGCAUUCUGAUGCUGUCUCCUGAACAACCAUCAGGCGCUGGCCACCUCUUCUGUACCCUGCAGUCACGCAAUAAUGCAUGCGCAAAUGCUUUUAUGCAUGCAAUUAAAUUAUUGCUAAAGUAUAGUGUACACAUAUACAGGUUAAUUAGCAAAACGGCUGGAAUUGCUUUCGUUCAGUGAACAGCGAAUGCCUGUGGAUGUGUUUUGUUAUUGCAAAAGCCUUUUGGAAAUGAAAAAAAGUACUUGGGUCUAUUUAAAGCUG